AGUGAACGCUGGCGGUAGGCCUAACACAUGCAAGUCGAACGGCAGCACAGUAAGAGCUUGCUCUUACGGGUGGCGAGUGGCGGACGGGUGAGGAAUACAUCGGAAUCUACUUUUUCGUGGGGGAUAACGUAGGGAAACUUACGCUAAUACUGCAUACGACCUACGGGUGAAAGCAGGGGAUCUUCGGACCUUGCGCGAAUGAAUGAGCCGAUGUCGGAUUAGCUAGUUGGCGGGGUAAAGGCCCACCAAGGCGACGAUCCGUAGCUGGUCUGAGAGGAUGAUCAGCCACACUGGAACUGAGACACGGUCCAGACUCCUACGGGAGGCAGCAGUGGGGAAUAUUGGACAAGGGGCGCAAGCCUGAUCCAGCCAUACCGCGUGGGUGAAGAAGGCCUUCGGGUUGUAAAGCCCUUUUGUUGGGAAAGAAAAGCAGCAGGUGAAUACCCCGCUGUUCUGACGGUACCCAAAGAAUAAGCACCGGCUAACUUCGUG
rnacentral:rRNA from 1 species